rnacentral:lncRNA from 1 species
UUUUUUUUUUUUUUUUUUUGGUCUUUCUGCUUUUUCUAGGGCCAUUCCCAUGGCAUAUGGGGAUUCCCAGGAUAGGGGUUUAAUCGGAGCUGUAGCCACUGGCCUACACCAGAGCCACGGCAGUAAGGGAUCUGAGCCGCUUCUACAACCUAAACCAUAGCCCACGGCAACGCCAGAUCCUUAACCCACUGAGCAAGGCCAGGGAUCAAACCUGCAACCUCAUGGUUCCUAGUCGGAUUCAUUAACCACUGAGCCAUGACAGGAACUCCUAAACACACAAUUUCAAAGUGUCAUCACUCCAGCAAAUACCUUAUUCAUAAAGCAUCAUUCUGUGCCUCUUAGAGUUUGAUAGGAAGCAGAAAGUUACAAUGUAAUAUCUAACUGGUUUCAAAAAUACAAACAAGUAAAAAUUCUUUAACUGGAUAAAUAAAAAGCAAUUAUAUAUUUUUAAUGUAGCAUAAAAUACUAGGUGAUGGAAGAAUUUUAGGAAUUCUAAGAAUGAAUGGGCAGAACUAGAGGUUGAGGCAGGAAACCCACAGAGCAAAGACUGGCACUGUGGCCUACAUGUCAAAUCUGACCCACUGCCUGUUUUUAUAAGGCCCACAAGAAUGGUUUUUACAUUUUUUUUUAAUGGUUGGAGGAAAAAAAAGGAAUAUUUCUUGACGUGUGAAAAUUACAUGAAUUGCAAAUUUCAGUGUCCGUAAAUAAAGUGCUAUUGGAACACAGCCACCUCAUUCAUUUACAUCUUAUCCUUUGCUGCUUUCAUGCCACAAGGGCAGAACUGAGUGUACGGCCGACAGCAAAACUGAAAAUGUUUACUCUCUGGCCCUUUACAGAGAGAGUGUGCUGACCACUGCCCUAGAAGUACUUACUCCUUGAGUAAGUCACACAGCUCAGCUGAUGAUGUUUUUACAGGGUUUUUAUUCGGUUCCUGACACAUGUGCUCAGAAACCUUCUGCUACAAAAUGCUCAAGAAUGUCUCUAGUGGUUAAUAUCAAGCACAGAGGCCUGAAGAUUAAAAAGUAAACCUUUGAGCCAAUGCCUACCCAGUAACAGAGUGCUCCUAACACUGCACUUCCACUAUCACCUUCUCCAUCUGAAAACCCAGCUCCUUCUAUGAAUCUAGAUCAAGGAUGGCAAAUAUUCCCAUUCCUGCGCCCAAGAACCACAGUGCCAAGCGAUCAGAGCCCUCCUUCCAAAUGGGCUACAUUCAGCCUGGAUCACCUGCUGCAGGAGACGAAAUCCAUCUUCGUCCAAUUAGACCAUCUCUCCCAUUCUUCUCUUCUGGUUUGGACUUUAACACUCACUUCUCCUUUGCAUCGUUCUUACACCUUUUCUUGUGUGAAUCCCACAUUUGGAACAUGCCAAAGAGGACAACAGUGCAGAAAAAGUGGAAUGGGUAUGCUUGCUCUCUGGGAUCUGUGGACAGGGCAUUAGCAGGCCAAGUGACAGACCAUCAAUUAAAUAAAACAAAACUGGGCUUCUAAGUCUCUCUCUCUCUCUCUCUCUCUUUUUUUUUUUGGUCUUUUUGCCAUUUCUUGGGCUGCUCCUGCGGCAUAUGAAGGUUCCCAGGCUAGGGAUCAUUUAAAAUAGGAGCUGUAGCCACAGAGAUGAAACCCGUGCCUCUGCAGUGACCUGAGUCACUGCAGUCAGAUUCUUAACCCAGUGUGCCACGGUGGGAACUUCCUUAAUAAGUAUUUUUUAAAGGACACUUUCCUUGUCAAAACAGCAAGCAAAACUGAUAUGUCACAAUGAAAAGAUCCUCCCAACAACUUCAAUUUAAUUUUGCCACUAUUUUACCUGAUCAAGGAAUAAAGGAAUCACAAUCACUGACUGAAAACAAUGGCUAUCCUGUUGGUGGGAAUAUAAACAGGAAAACAGCAUGAAAGUUCCCCCAAAAAUAAAAAACAUGACUACCAUGUGACCCAGCAAUUCCACCUCUGGGUAUGAUUCUGCGAGAAAUGAAACUGCUACCUGGAAGAGCUAUCUGCACCCUGAGGUGGAGUGUGGCAUUUUAUUUAUAAGCACCAAGACCCAGAAACAACCUGGGUCCCCUGACCUAUUUAGACUAAAGAAAAUGUGGUAUAGAUAUACAAUGGAACGUUAUUCAGCAAUUUAAAAAAAAAAAAAGAAGGAAGGAAAUCCUGCCAUCUGCAACAACACAGAGGAAACCCAAGGCAUUAAGUGAAGUAAAACAGUCAGACAGAGGAAUGCUGUAUGGUCUCACUCCUGUAUGCAAUCUAGGAAAACCAAGCUCAGAAACUGAGAGGAGUGGUUCCCAGUUGGGGAGGGAAAUGGGUGAAGGCAAACCCCAGUUCUAAGAUCGGUAAGUUCGGGGGAUGCAAUGUACAGCACAGCAGUUACGGCAAAGAAUACUGCAGUGUAUAGUCGAAAGUUGCUAAGGGAAGAGCUAGGGGGGGUGGGGGGAGCACACCUGCGGCAUAUGGAAUUUUCUGAAUCCAAGAAGCAGCUGCGACCUAGGCCACAGCUGUGGCGAUGGCAAAUCCUUAACCUACCAUAUACCACAGUGGGAACCCCGAGAUGAGAUUUUAAAAGUUCACACCACACACAGAGAAAAUGGUAUUAUGUGUGGUGAGGGAUCUAUUAUUAAGUAACCUCACUGUGGUAGAGUCACUGUGCGAUAAAUACAUACAUAACAACCACUGGGUUGCAUAUCGUAAAAAAUUCUACCUUGGUAAAGCUGGGAAAAGACGGAAGAAAACAGAAGAAAGAAAUGAAUAUGCCAUCCCAUGGCAAACUUUAGAAAUCAAUAUCCCAUGCGAAAGAAGCCCGCAAGGGAAAUCGGCUGCACCCAGCUGCGUAAUAAAUCAAUUUGUUACCGUGACAGUCAUCUCCAAAGGGAGGAACGGCGGACAGACAACAAAGAAGGCAGAUGAGACACCGAGGCAAUAUCGAAACAGAGCCCCACAAGGUUUUUGUCUUGCUUUUUAUUUUCUAACAAGUCUCUUAAAUCACUCAUCGGGAAAUAAACGAUUUAAGACAGGCCUCCAGAAGCAUUAUUCCAACUCUGACAUCAUUCGUCAGUCAGUACAUUUUUGAAAAAUAUUUCCAGAAACUUAUUUAUUCAACAAAUAUGGAAUACACACUACGCAUACACUAAAUGGUGGUAGAUUCCUGGAAUUCAACGAUAAGCAAAAACAGAGCUGCUGCCUUUAUGGAGGAGAGAGACAGCUAUGAAUCCUAAACUAGUAACAGAAAUAAAUAGAAAGUUCCCGUUGUGGCUCAGCGGUUAAUGAAUCUGACUAGAAACCAUGAGGUGACAGGUUCGAUCCCUGGUCUCGUUCAGUGGGUUAAGGAUCCAGCGUUGCCAUGAGCUGUGGUGUAGGUCGCAGAGCCUGUGUUGCUGUGGCUGUGGUGUAGGCCAGCAGCAACAGCUCCAAUUAGACCCCUAGCCUGGGAACCUCCAUAUGCCACGGGUGUGGCUCUAAAAAGACAAAAAAAUAAUAAUAACAAUAAUUGGAGUGUCCGUUGUGGCACAGCGGUUAGCAAAUCUGACAAGGAACCAUGAGGUUGCAGGUUCGAACCCUGGCCUCGCUCAGUGGGUUAAGGAUCCGGCGUUGCCGUGGGCUGUGGUAUAGGUCCCAGAUGUAGCUCAGAUCCCCCAUUGCUGUGGCUCUGGCACAGGCCAGUGGCUACAGCUUCAAUUCGAACCCUAGCC